UUUCAUUACAGUUUUUCAAUAUCUUCUUUUAAAAGGCACAACCUUCCAGGAGUUCUGGGCUGUAGUAUGCCGAUCGGGUGUUUGCACUAAGUUCGCCAUCAAUAUGGUGACCUCCCAGGAACGGGGGACCACCAGGUUGCCUAAGGAGGGGUGAACCGGCCCAGGUCGGAAACGGAGCAGGUCAAAACUCACGUGCUGAUCAGUAGUGGGAUUGCGCCUAUGAAUAGCCACUGCACUCCAGCCUGGGCAACAUAGUGAGACCU
rnacentral:sRNA from 1 species